UCUUGAAUAAUGAACUUUUUAUCUCAGGGGGCGUUACCCUGCCCUGUAUGCUACAGGCUAAUUAUCCUCUACAAACAGGGAAACUAAUUUCCUUCGCUUUCGGGAAGCCUUGUCUCUUUUACACAGUGCUGCUGAUGUUGCUGAGAGGAGUGAAAUCCUAAAAGCUUUUCCAGUGUCUCAAAAACUUUUUUUUUUUUUGCCGUAGUUUGUAAUAGACAUUUAAAGACAAAUUUUGGUUGUCUCAAAAAUCAAAACUUUUUACAACCACAUAUUUUUGUCUCUAAAAGUUUAUUUAUAGUAACAAAUGCAAAAUUUUGUCUCUAAAAUUCAAUUUUUGCCUUUUCCGGAAGAACCAUUGGAGACAAACCUUGCGAUGAACAAAAUUAGUUGGCUAAAGUUUUUUCCAACAAAUAUUACACUUCUAGGGACGGAAUAAAUUUGUCCCUAAAAAGCUAAUUUCUUGUAAUGAGUGUUUCUGCCAAUACUUUUACAAAAAUUAUCUAUUUAAGAACUUUAAUUAGUUGCUUUUGUUACCGAGUUUGGACACUAAUUGGUUGAAGAUAUUCAUGCAUUUGUUCUGCAACAGGGAUGGGAAUGUACCUAUUUCUUUAUCCAAAAGUACCUGAUGAGGAAACUAGAUCUUAUAAGCGAAAAUGAGCAAACUUUGAGAGGUGUAGUUUUCAUCAAACAAUGAGGGUAAAUUACACCAUUGACACCUCUAUUUAUAACCACAACUACGGCAUGUAGAUAAAAGGGAAACCUCACCAACUCUAGUUUAAAGAUUGACAACUUUAUGAAAUAUGGCUUUUUGUACGGACUUGUGGAUAAUCCAUUUUGGUGUAUGGAAAAGAAAUUACACUUUUGUAUACAACAAAUACUUUUGUCA